rnacentral:misc_RNA from 1 species
UUUUUCUUGCACAUAUACUUUUUGCGAGUCGUCUGAUCCUCUCAUAACAACACGUAGGUUCAGACACAAAACAAGUAGAGUAAUCAGUACAGGACACAGGAUAUACAGUACGACAACUCCGUCAGCGAGGAAUGCUCUGGCAGCACAAGGACAGUGUUUAUAAAGUCAUGGUGGAACAGUGAACACUGCGUUGCUAAACAGUGUUACGCUUCACUGCAGGAGGACAAUGUUGUUUACGGUGGCGCUGCUGGUGGUGGCGGCGUGGUUGUACUCCAAGUACUGUCAUACCUACUGGGCGGCACGCGGGGUGGUCACUAUACCAGGGUACAUUCCCUUCCUAGGCCACAGCCACAAGCUCUUUAGAACGUCCUACCCAAGAUGGCUGUACAUUGAUGAGGUAUACAAGAAUCUUACUGGAUCCAAGUUCUGUGGAUACUAUGACCAACUUACACCCACUUUAAUGCUGAUGGACCCUGAACUAGUAAAGACUAUCCUUAUUAAAGAUUUUAACCACUUUGCCGAUCGCCGGAACUUUGGUAUGACCUCAAAGAGGGACGAGACGGUUAAGGAAAUGCUCUCAUUUUCAAAUGGGGACCAUUGGAAAAGAAUCCGCUCGGUGUUGUCCCCCAUAUUCAACUCCAGCAGAAUAAAGGGGAUAUUCCCUUUGGUGGCGCUGAAGGCUGAUGCUCUGGUAGAUUAUAUACACAGAGAAAUAAAAAGCCACUCAGCUCUCCCACUUAGGAAAACAUUUGCUUUGUAUACCCUGGAAGUCAUCUCGUCUUGUGCCUUUGGGGUGGAGACAAAUUCUUUUCAAGGUGAAGAACAAAUCAUUAACGAUAUGGCAGAUAAGCUAUUAAAUGUAUCUGGCUCUCGUUUUCGUAAUAUGAAGACGCUUCUGUUCUUUUUAUUUCCAAGGAGUUGCUCAUUUUUUAAGAUCAGCUUUUCCCCGCCUGAGAUAGUCUUCUUUGAGAACGUCAUUAUGGAGACAAUGAAGCAGAGAGAAAAAGGAGGAAAGCGCGGCGACUUCCUAGACCUGAUGAUGGAGGCUCGCGAGGACCAGAAGGACCCUGACUUGAAGGCCCCAAAAUACCCACUGAAGGACGUUACUAUAGUGGCCGAGUCCAUAUUGUUCAUCAUAGUCGGGUACGACACUACAGCCACCACCCUCUCCUUCAUCGCCUUCCUUCUGGCUCAGUACCCCGAGCAACAGCAGCGCCUGCGACAGGAGCUGAAAAACAUUGUCAAGGAAUAUGGAACACUCACCUACCAAGGCAUCAUGCAGGCCAAGUUUCUCGAUGCUUGUAUAUCAGAGGCAUUAAGAUUGCACCCCACGAUCAACUUCGUGGAGCGGAUUUGCACCAAAGACUACAACAUCUCAGGUACUGAUAUGAUCAUCCCAAAGAAGACCAUAGUAAGCAUCCCGUUCUGGAGCCUCCACAAGGACCCUCAGUACUGGGCUGACCCGGACGUCUUCAGUCCAGACCGAUUCCUGCCAGAGAACAAAGACAAAAUUAAGAGUGGUACUUAUCUUCCCUUCAGUCUUGGUCCGAGGAACUGUAUCGGGAUGCGGUUCGCCUUGAUGGAGGUCAAGUUGGCGCUGGCCAAGAUUCUCCUGGAUUUUGAGGUGAGCUGCGCACCUGGCCAAGAGCAGAUGGAGUUUGCUAAAUCCUUUGGAAGCAUGAGACCUUCACCAGACAUGAAAAUCGUCUUCAAGCCGUUGAUCAACUGUGAACAAUAACCUGCAGGGAGAGGCUGUGACUUCUCCCACACUGUUGUGAAAGAGGAACAGUGAUGUAGAGGAGCAGGAACACUACAGUAGUGUUGAGAAUGUGAGAUCCUAUAGAGGCCACCACUAUCGCUUGCUAAGCCUCGGGAAGGUGAAACUCAGACGAGGUUCAACUGAAACUGUUGCAACUGACAGUGGGAGGUCCGCACAGGAUAGUGAUCACUGAGGCUGUCGGCCUCAGAUCACUGUGGCCAGUUUGUCUGGGGAUGGAAGAGUCUCCAUUAACCCUUAAUAGAAGCAGCUGCUCCUCUACGACUGGCUGUUGCAACAGUCUGCGGGUAAAAGUGACCUACCUGCUUUUUAAUGUCGAGGGGCUGAGCUAAGAACACUAAGCUCUUGAAGUUUGAUCUAUACUAGAGCAAGACGUUCACCGACACUGUACAUAAAGGAUCAUCAGUAUCGAAAUAUAUGGAGAAUAAAUGAUUUAAACUAC